rnacentral:lncRNA from 1 species
CUCCAUGAUCUUCUGUAACGACCAAACCUCGAAGGAUUUGAGUCUCUGGGCUUUACUGUGCUAGUCCCUGGAUCGACUCGCUAGCACACACAAUAUAGAUGAAUAGCAGAAUAGCAAGUGCAUCAUUUAUUACAACGUAUGAUCCAGAAUUUAUAAAGUGUAACAAUCUACAUAGCACUUAGCUAGCUCUAAUAAAUAAUGGCAGCGGAAAGGUAGCAGAAAUAAUAACGAUGAGUCCCAUCAUAGCCCACCGGCGAAAAGGUUGAGUGAAGACUCGCGACCCUACUGUAUCUCACUGAUCAUCUGAAUAUCCUGCGACAUGAUAAGUUGCAGCCACAAGGGUCAAUACAUUGAAUGUAUUGGCAAUUCACACAAAAUGAUAAUGCAAACCUACGCAUAUAAGCAAUGUAUGACAAACAAAAUAGUCAAGUUGGUUCGGCAUAAAAAUAACUUCACCUACCUCCAUGAACUAAUCAAGGUCUCACACGCCAAAACCAAUUUAAUCCCGCAAGAGAGAACUCACAAACCUACGGUGAGAUGACAAAAAUCUUCAAGAUGUAUCAAGUGCGCUCAGUCGAUGACGCAUUCAAUGGGGACUCCAAAGCGCUCACCCAUCAACGCAUUCACCAGAUUUAAGUCCCGACAACUCA